AUGGGGCGGGGGGCUCGGGGGUGCGCAACACAGCCCGGUGCUGAGGACCGGGGUGCAGCACAGAGCCCCUCCCCAAGGAAGACCGAGACCAGAGCUGGGGUGGCCGAGUACCCCGCGGGCCGCUGUGGACAGGGCAGGGUAGGGGCGCGGCAGGAGCCUGUGCCAGGGCGGCCCAGGGUGGGCCACAAGACAGCUGCGGCCUCUGCGACCCUGGCGCUCCCUGCCCUGCCCAGCCGCCCGCGCAGCCCCAGGAAUUCACUACGGGGGCCGCACCCAGGCUUCCGUCCACGCCCUGGCCCUUGGCACCCAGGCCCCCUCGCCACGAGGGGAGGGGAGGGAAGGGGAGAGCAGCUGCCAUGGCCGCCCUGGCCUCGCAGAGUCUUCAGGGCCUGGGAUCCCAGCAGGGCUGUCCACCCCAGGUCAGGGCCUCCCAGAAAUGGCUCCACGGCGCCUGGCAACCUGCAUCAGAAAUCACUCACCAGGGGCCGGGGCUGUGGCUCAGAGGGUUACUCCUCUGCCUCGGGCGCAGCCACCCCACGUGGGCAGCAAUGGGCGCCGGUUCGAGUCCCAGCUGCUCCUCUUCCAAUCCAGCUCUCUGCUAUGGCCUGGGAAAGCAGCAGAAGAUGGCUCAAGUCCUUGGGCCCCUGCACCCACGUGGGAGACCUGGAAGAAGCUCCUGGUUCCUGGCUUCGCAUCAGUGUAGCUCUACUCAUGUGCAUGGACAGCACAUAUACAAGGCACACCUGUGUCCGUGUGAGAGCAGUGCUGAGCUGGCCUGAGCCCUGCCUGCCCCUGGACACAGCCCCGUGGUGGUGGGAGGGGUGGGGUAUGUGGGGCUGCCCCCUGCCCUCUGGCAGCCGCAGCAGAACGUGGCACCAGGCCGGAGGGCAGAGGUGCAGCAGGGGCAGGAGCCUCUCCAAACUGCCCCGGGCUCUGCCCCCACCGGCCCAGAGCCAGGGAGGGUGGUGGCGGCAGGCCUGGGAGGCCAGGGUGGGCGGCACCAGGACCCCUCCGUGCCUUCCCUGCAGCCCAGGCCCGGGAGUGGGUGGAAUUCAGAAAGCCCCGUGGGAAGGAGAAGGCCUGGUCCUCACCGUACCCAGGGACCCUGAGGCAUCUACAGGGCCAGGCCCACCUGGGAGUCACCCAGACCCACCGCCCUGUGGCCAGAUGGUGCCCGUGACGUAG
rnacentral:lncRNA from 1 species